GCCAGGGUGGAGUAGUGGUUUGAGCAUUAGAUUAUGACUCUAGGGAUCAGGGUUCAAAUCCCUGCUUGGCCA